AGUGAACGCUGGCGGUAGGCCUAACACAUGCAAGUCGAACGGCAGCACAGAGGAGCUUGCUCCUUGGGUGGCGAGUGGCGGACGGGUGAGGAAUACAUCGGAAUCUACUCUGUCGUGGGGGAUAACGUAGGGAAACUUACGCUAAUACCGCAUACGACCUACGGGUGAAAGCAGGGGAUCUUCGGACCUUGCGCGAUUGAAUGAGCCGAUGUCGGAUUAGCUAGUUGGCGGGGUAAAGGCCCACCAAGGCGACCAUCCGUAGCUGGUCUGAGAGGAUGAUCAACCACACUGGAACUGAGACACGGUCCACAUUCCUACGGGAAGCAGCGUGGGGGAAUAUUGGACGAUGGGUUCCAGCCUGAUUCUCUCCUACUUCUUGGGUGAUGAAUGACUGAUGGUUGUAAAGCCCAUUUGUUGGGAAAGAUAUCUCUUCGGCUUAACUGUUGAUCGGAUGACGGUACCCAAAAAAAAAAUAUCGGCUAACUUCGUGCCCCAUGUAAGGACUUCCUAAAGCUGCAUCCUUUACUCGGAAUUACUGGGCGUAUGCGUGCCAAGGUGGUUUUUAAGACCGUUGUUCUACCCUAGGCUCUACUGGGAAUUGCAGUGGAUACUGGAUGAUUAACAUGCGAUAGAGGGUUCCGAAUUCCUGGUGGCAUAAAGUAACUUUACAGAUCCCGAGGACCAUCCUGGCUAAGCACGCCCUGUACAAAAUAUUCUUAAGCGUGUACGCUGGGCCUAAUAAAUAAAACAUCCAUG
rnacentral:rRNA from 1 species